GAUGAACGCUGGCGGCGUGCCUAAUACAUGCAAGUCGAGCGAACAGACGAGGAGCUUGCUCCUUCGACGUUAGCGGCGGACGGGUGAGUAACACGUAGGUAACCUACCUAUAAGACUGGGAUAACUUCGGGAAACCGGAGCUAAUACCGGAUAAUAUUUCGAACCGCAUGGUUCGAUAGUGAAAGAUGGCUUUGCUGUCACUUAUAGAUGGAUCUGCGCCGUAUUAGCUAGUUGGUAAGGUAACGGCUUACCAAGGCAACGAUACGUAGCCGACCUGAGAGGGUGAUCGGCCACACUGGAACUGAGACACGGUCCAGACUCCUACGGGAGGCAGCAGUAGGGAAUCUUCCGCAAUGGGCGAAAGCCUGACGGAGCAACGCCGCGUGAGUGAUGAAGGUCUUCGGAUCGUAAAACUCUGUUAUUAGGGAAGAACAAAUGUGUAAGUAACUGUGCACGUCUUGACGGUACCUAAUCAGAAAGCCACGGCUAACUACGUG
rnacentral:rRNA from 1 species